UUUACGGCUGAGUAAUAUUCCAUUGUAUAUCUGUACCACAUCUUUAUCCAUUCAUCUUGCAGUGGAUGCUUAGGUUGCUCCCAUGUCCUGGCUUUUGUAAAUAGUGGUGCUGUUAAUAUUGGAGUGCAUAUAUCUUUUCGAAUUAGGGUUUUCAUCUUUUCCAGAUACCUUCCCAGGAGAAGGAUUGCUGGAUCACUUGGUAACUCUAUUCUUAGCUUUCCAAGGAAACGCCACGCUGCUUUCCACAGCUGCUGCACAAAUUUACAUGGAAUGCUUUGUCUUCUUGAGCUGGUCUGCCUUAGUAUUGCUACUACACCUACUCAUUGUCUGGAAGUCACCCGUGAGAUGCAUGUCCUCAGCUCAGAUACUGAGGCUCCCAGUGUUACUGCUCAGGUUUAGACCUUCAUCGUAUUUAUGGUACAUUAUGUGCACUGCUGGCCUCUUUACAGGUGUCCCCCACCUCCCAGACCUCCUCUCUAAUCCAUUUAAAGUGCUGCUGCCAGGUUAAUCUCUUUCAAAGGGCAGCUACUGUACUAUUUCCAUUCUUAAAUUAAAAACCCUUCAGAGAUAUCUGCACACCCAUGUUCACUGCAGCAUUAUUCACAAGAACCAAGAUAUGGAAGCAACCUAAGUGUCCAUUAGCAGAUGAAUGGAUAUAGAAGUUGUGAAAUAUUAAUCAGCCAUGAGAAAGAAGGGAAUCCUGCCAAGUGCAACAACAUGGAUGGACCUUGAGGACGUUACGCUACGUGAGAUGUCAGACAGAAGAAGAUAAAUACUGUAUGAUCUCACAUAUGCGGAACAGGAAAAAACUGAACUUGUAAAAACAGAGAGUAGAAUGCUGGUUACUGGGGCCCAGGGGUAGGGAGAUAUUUAAGUGUACAAACCCAAAACAAUUAUUUGCUCAUGGAUGAAUGAAAGAAAUGAGAUCGCCUGAGUAGGCAGUCAGAAGAAAUAGAAGGACAAGGAGAGGUUGCUCAGACAGACAAGGGGGAAAAGGGAAUCGCAGGCUGAGAAGAGGACGUGGGGAAAGCGUCCUUGUGUGAGCAGGACGUUCAGCGUAUGGAGGAACCUUUCUUCCUCUACAAAACGAAGAUGACAGUACACCCCACACACACCAAGGGUCAUUAUGAGGAUUAAGGAGACAUCAUUUAAAAUGGAUCCUGAUAUACAAUGAGAUUCAGUG